rnacentral:rRNA from 1 species
CCUACGGGAGGCAGCAGUGAGGAAUAUUGGUCAAUGGACGAGAGUCUGAACCAGCCAAGUAGCGUGAAGGAUGACUGCCCUAUGGGUUGUAAACUUCUUUUAUAUGGGAAUAAAAUGUUCCACGUGUGGGAUUUUGUAUGUACCAUAUGAAUAAGGAUCGGCUAACUCCGUGCCAGCAGCCGCGGUAAUACGGAGGAUCCGAGCGUUAUCCGGAUUUAUUGGGUUUAAAGGGAGCGUAGGUGGAUUGGUAAGUCAGUUGUGAAAGUUUGCGGCUCAACCGUAAAAUUGCAGUUGAAACUGGCAGUCUGGAGUACAGUAGAGGUGGGCGGAAUUCGUGGUGUAGCGGUGAAAUGCUUAGAUAGCACGAAGAACUCCGAUGGCGAAGGCAGCUCACUGGACUGCAACUGACACUGAGGCUCGAAAGUGUGGGUAUCAAACAGGAUUAGAUACCCCGGUAGUC